UUUAUGGUAGUAUAUUGGUUAGUACGCGCGUCUGUCAUUUAUUUGUUCUUUGUAGUCGCGCGAAAGCUGGGUUCGAUUCCCAAUCAGAGAG